rnacentral:ncRNA from 1 species
UUUAACGAGAGUUUGAUCCUGGCUCAGGACGAACGCUGGCGGCGUGCCUAAUACAUGCAAGUCGAACGA